rnacentral:rRNA from 1 species
AGAUUGAACGCUGGCGGCAUGCCUUACACAUGCAAGUCGAACGGCAGCACGGGAGCAAUCCUGGUGGCGAGUGGCGAACGGGUGAGUAAUAUAUCGGAACGUGCCCAGUCGUGGGGGAUAACGUAGAGAAAUUUACGCUAAUACCGCAUACGAUCCAAGGAUGAAAGCGGGGGACCGUAAGGCCUCGCGCGACUGGAGCGGCUGAUAUCAGAUUAGCUUGUUGGUGAGGUAAAAGCUCACCAAGGCGACGAUCUGUAGCUGGUUUGAGAGAACGACCAGCCACACUGGGACUGAGACACGGCCCAGACUCCUACGGGAGGCAGCAGUGGGGAAUUUUGGACAAGUGGGCGAAAGCCUGAUCCAGCAAUGCCGCGUGCAAGGAAAGAAGGCCGUUCGGUUAGUUAAACUAGUCUUUGUUACGGAGACGAAAAGGUACGUCGACCUAACGUAACGACGGACCC